ensembl:lncRNA CUTALP cutA divalent cation tolerance like, pseudogene
GGUCGCUGCUCAGGGAAAUGCGGAGGCCAGUAGGCUUACGUGUUUACCGCGUAGGGCAAAGCCUUGCCAAAUUCCCGGCCAGCGGAGCGGCGAGGGUGGGGACUCACGGGAAGUUAAACAGCCUCGUCGGCGUCCUCGAGGCUCCAAAACCAGGCUCUAGGCGGGGACGACUGCAGCCGUUAUGGAGGCCACCGCGGCUACGGCCGCGGCUGAGGCCUCCCCAGGUGGAGCGGUGGCCUGGAGGGGAAUCUUGAUCCUGGGCCAGCCACCUGUCAAGAGGAGGCGGAGCGUCAUGCCUCUGGAAGACUGGAUGAAUAUUCUCCAGGAGCCUGACGAAGGCGAAGAAGUCUUUGCAGAGGAAAUUGAAUGCUGUCUGAUGCUACAAUUCAUAUGGAUCCUUUCCUGGAUUGAAGCCUGACUUUUAAAAAAGGUUUCAAUAAAUUGCUUAUACCUAUGAAGAGAUGCAAAAGAACCUUCAAAAUAAAGCAAAGGACUUGAAGAAAGAGAAGGAAGACAUGAAGAAGAGGAUGUCAUUUAGGUGAAGGGCCAUGCUGGAUAAGGAGCUGGCUGCCUCUGUGAACAUCCUACUCAAGGCAUCUUCACUGCUGUACAUCCUUUUGAAAUCCCAGAGAUCUUCAGUCUCCCUGUGGAUUAAGGAGAUGUGCAGUAUUUAAAGUGGCUUCAGGAAGGCAUGGAAGAGGACUGAGUGGGGAAAGCUUUUUGUGCAUGCUGCUGGCUACCUCCAGCGGCUGCCUCCAGCCUCCAUCAGCUGCACUCUGGGGAAGAGGAGGCUGCCUUCUACCUCCCAGCAUCUCUGGAUUUCAUGUUCCUGUCAGCACAGAGGAGCUAAAUGGCCUGUAGAGGCUGAAGGUCUGAGGCUCCUAAAGCUGGAAGAAAAGGCUGGGCCAGUCAGGCCAAGCAAGAACACAGUGUAACUUGUCUCUGAGUGCUUCAUGGUUAAGGGGGCUAAGCAGGCACAAGGGCAUGAGGAUGGUUAUAUGUACAGACUGAGGGGAAGAAGCAGUGAAGAUGAGACUUGCCAUCUUCUUGAGUCAGUAGGCCUGCCUCAGGUGCCUAGGAUGUAAUUGCUCUGCUGCUUCUCAUGGGGAGGAGUGGCCCUCAUGACCUUGUUUACCUGGAAGAGUGUGGGAUGAAUGCCUCCUCCUAUGGGGACUCGCAAGUGCUUUAGCAAAAGGAUAAAUUGCUAAUUGUGGCAUUUCGUGGAUCAGCAGGAUUAUUUCUCCUUGCUAAAGAGGAUUUUGUUGGUCCUGAAUUCUGAGGAGGUGGGACUAGGAAUGGGCUCCAUGAGCCUGUGUAUGACUCAGGGAAUAUUAGGACUUUGGCACAGCCUCAUGGGUUGGGAGUAAGUCUUGGCUCUUCCCUAGCCUGAAUGACAGACAUCAGAUCAUUCUGGUGCUUUGUCCAUGAAGAUGUAGAUUCUGAGCCCACCCAACUAAUCUUUUCACUUGAGCACAGAAACAGCCCCGGGAAUCGGACAGACCCGUGUCUUUCAGGUUUGCUUCACAGAGCCCCAGGGGUUGACAAUAGGUGCCUUGGAGACUGCCUGCAUGGGGAUUUUUAAAAAGCUUUCUUUGUUAAAGGUUUGUAAACCACUCCUCUGAGCCUGUUUUCAUUUUAUAGAUUAUUCAGGGAACUGAACUGCACAGAGAUCCAGAAAGUGGGUAGUGCAGGCUGUAGUGCUGAUAACUACUGUACUACUUGGAUCUUUGUGCUCCCAAAUACCAAAUGGAAGAGGAUCUCUGAGAGUCCUUUGCAAAGAUCUUGUAGGGACUUUAGGCUGGGGCCUUCGGAAAAUUCCAGAGGAUUCCAAUGGAGAUUUUGAGGGACUGACUCAGAAGAACAAAGAGAAUGAUAAUGGUGAUGUCCCUGCUUUUUACAACAGAUCAUGUUCUGAUAUAUAUGCAAAUCUGUGUAAAGUAAACCCUACCUAAAAUGUACUGGGGACCCAAGAUGGACUGCCUGUAUUGCUUCCAGGAUAAAGUCCAAUUUCUAGCUCUGGUUUUUAUAACCUUGCUUCAGCUCACCUUUUCCGUCAUCAUCCCCUCCAUCUCCUCUCCCACGCUGGGAAAUGGAUGGCUGCACUAUACUGUGUGAUGUUAUUGCUAUGUUCAUGCCAUCCCCUCUGCCUGGAAUGCCCUUCUGCAUGAAUGCCUGUGAAAUGUUGUUGCUCCUUUGUAUGGCCUGGCUUCCGUGGUUGGCAGGAAUCUCUUCUUUCGUGGUAUUCCUGUCAUCUUUGUGCAUCACAGUCAGCUUUGUAUUCCUAGCUUGUAAGCUACUUGAGGAUAGGGGCAUGUCUGAAUCUAUUUAAUCUCUUGCACCUGUUUGGCAAAUUGAUGUUUUAAGUAUUUAAAUAACUAAAGCUCUCUCUACAGUA